CCGGGGCUGAAGGAGGACAGGAGGCUGCUCAGCUUGAAGAUCGAAGACGGUCCUUCAGAUGCCUUCCCAGCAGACCUGCAGCUUGGUGAGCUUCCCGCCUCCGAGAAGAAAGUGCCGGAGCUGCAGCUCUGCAGAAAGGAGAAGCCAGGUGACUCAGGAAAACCCC